GGGGAAUCUUGCACAAUGCGCGAAAGCGUGAUGCAGCAACGCCGCGUGGGUGAAGACGGCCUUCGGGUUGUAAAACCCUUUCAGUUGGGACGAAGCUUCGUCGGUUAAUAGCCGACCGGAGUGACGGUACCUUCAGAAGAAGCCCCGGCUAACUACGUGCCAGCAGCCGCGGUAAUACGUAGGGGGCAAGCGUUGUCCGGAAUCAUUGGGCGUAAAGCGCGUGUAGGCGGCUCGAUAAGUCUGCUGUGAAAGUCCAGGGCUCAACCCUGGAAUGCCGGUGGAAACUGUCGGGCUAGAGUACGGAAGAGGCGAGUGGAAUUCCUGGUGUAGCGGUGAAAUGCGCAGAUAUCAGGAGGAACACCAAUUGCGAAGGCAGCUCGCUGGGACGUUACUGACGCUGAGACGCGAAAGCGUGGGGAGCAAA
rnacentral:rRNA from 1 species